rnacentral:SRP_RNA from 1 species
GCCACGGUGGUGCACACCUGUAAUUCCAGCUACUUGGGAGGCUGAGGCGAGAGGAUGGCUUGAGCCCAGGAGCUCUGGGCUGCAGUAGGCUCUGCCCAUCAGGUGUCUGCACUAAGUUCAGCAUCAACAUGGCGAUCUCCCAGGGGCAGGAGACCACCAGGUUGCCUAAGGAGGGGUGAACAAGCCCAGGUUGGAAAUGGAGCAGGUCAAAACUCCUGUGAUGAGUAGUGGGAUCACACCUGUGAAGAGCCACUGCACUCCAGCCUGGGCAACAUAGUGAGACCCCACCUCA